rnacentral:rRNA from 1 species
CCUACGGGCGGCAGCAGUGAGGAAUAUUGGUCAAUGGACGAGAGUCUGAACCAGCCAAGUAGCGUGAAGGAUGACUGCCCUAUGGGUUGUAAACCUCUUUUAUAUGGGAAUAAAAUGCUCCACGAGUGGGACUUUGUAUGUACCAUGUGAAUAAGGAUCGGCUAACUCCGUGCCAGCAGCCGCGGUAAUAAGGAGGAUCCGAGCGUUAUCCGGAUUUAUUGGGUUUAAAGGGGGCGCAGGUGGGUUGCUAAAUCAGGUGUUAAAGUUGGCGGCGCAACCCUAAAACUGCAGUUGAAACUGGCAGUCUUGAGUGCAGUAGAGGUAGGCGGAAUGCGUGGUGUAGCGGUGAAAUGCUUAGAUAUCACGAAGAACUCCGAUUGCGAAGGCAGCUCACUGGACUGCAACUGACACUGAGGCACGAAAGUGUGGGUAUCGAACAGGAUUAGAUACCCGAGUAGUC